AGAGUUUGAUCCUGGCUCAGGACGAACGCUGGCGGCGCGCUUAACACAUGCAAGUCGAACGGGCUGGCUUCGGCCGUCAGUGGCGGACGGGUGCGUAACACGUAAGCGACCUGCCUUCAGGUGGGGGAUAACCCCGGGAAACCGGGGCUAAUACCGCAUGAGCUCCCUGGGCUGCAUGGCUCGGGGAGGAAAGCUCCGUCACAGGAGCGCUUGAAGAGGGGCUUGCGGCGUAUCAGCUAGUUGGCGAGGUAACGGCUCACCAAGGCGACGACGCGUAGGGGGUCUGAGAGGACGGCCCCCCCACAUUGGGACUGAGAUACGGCCCAGACUCCUACGGGAGGCAGCAGUGGGGAAUCUUGCGCAAUGGCCGAAAGGCUGACGCAGCGACGCCGCGUGCGGGAGGAAGGUCUUCGGAUCGUAAACCGCUGUCGGGAGGGAAGAAGAGACCGGGGAGGCAAUGCCUCGGUUCUGACGGUACCUCCAAAGGAAGCACCGGCUAACUCCGUGCCAGCAGCCGCGGUAAUACGGAGGGUGCAAGCGUUGUUCGGAAUUAUUGGGCGUAAAGCGCGCGCAGGCGGCCUGGAAAGUCUAUGGGUGAAAUACCGGGGCUCAACCCCCGCGUAUGCCCAGGAUACUGUCAGGCUAGAGACACGUAGAGGCAAGCGGAAUUCCGGGUGUAGCGGUGGAAUGCGUAGAGAUCCGGAAGAACACCGGAGGCGAAGGCGGCUUGCUGGGCGUGAUCUGACGCUGAGGCGCGAAAGCGUGGGGAGCGAACAGGAUUAGAUACCCUAGUAGUCC
rnacentral:rRNA from 1 species